GAUGAACGCUAGCGGCAGGCUUAACACAUGCAAGUCGAGGGGCAGCGCGGGAUAGCAAUAUCCUGGCGGCGACCGGCGGAAGGGUGCGUAACGCGUGAGCGACAUGCCCGUUGCCCGGGGACAACCGGUGGAAACGCCGACUAAUCCCCGAUGGGAUAUUGUGCCGCAUGGCACGAUAUUGAAAGUUACGGCGGCGACGGAUUGGCUCGCGUCCGAUUAGCUUGUUGGCGGGGUAACGGCCCACCAAGGCUGCGAUCGGUAGGGGUUCUGAGAGGAAGGCCCCCCACAAUGGGACUGAGACACGGCCCAUACUCCUACGGGAGGCAGCAGUGAGGAAUAUUGGUCAAUGGGCGGAAGCCUGAACCAGCCAUGCCGCGUGCGGGAAGGAGGCCCUAUGGGCUGUGAACCGCUUUUGCCUGGGGGCAAUAAGGGCGUCGCGCACGUCCGAUGAGAGUACCAGGAGAAUAAGCAUCGGCUAACUCCGUG
rnacentral:rRNA from 1 species